AUAUAAGGCGACGUGCUCGACAACAUUUGUAUUUGUAAUAAGCAAACCAGCGAGCGGAUAAGACGGAAUACCUGAAGAGCAGCAGUGAAAAACACGAAAAGCCAGAAACCAAAACCCAAACCGAAACAACUCGAACUUCGUGAGCAGUGGCAAACUGAAAAAGAAACUGAAACAAAAAACACAAGAAACCAAAAGAACCAGCAGUAGCGAAACGAAGCGUAAAUAAACAGAGCACAUUGAAAGAAGCACAAAAGACAACAAAUUAAAAUAAAAUCCAACGCAGACGGCGAGAGAAAAGUUAUUCCGGAAAACGCGCGGAAAAGUGCAUUUCGAAUUUCAUUUUUUUUCGAGUGAAAGUUGGGCGGCCCAGGCCCAACAACGCCCACAAUGAACCGUUCGAACAGCUUUGUCAGCUCGCUGAAAUGGUGGCCGCAGCAGGGUCACAACAACCAGCCGGUGGCGCCACCUGCCGUCGGCAACGGCGGGUACUCCCAAUCGGCGCCCAGCUCGCCCACCUCCAAUUGGCCACCGCCACUGCAGCAGCAUCAGACCGGCACCACAACCGGCACCGCCCACCGCCUGCUGCCGUCCAGCGCACAAAAGAGUGGGGUUGGUGGCACCACCGUGGGCGCCACAUUCGGCAGCAGUGUGGCGGUGCAGAAGCUGCGCGAAUCCAAAUGGUUCAAGCCCGAGGAGCAGCGCAUCUUUUGCGCCGUCGUCGAGUGCGGAUUUGUGGUCGAGAUCCGCAGCAGCGCCGCAGCCGAGGCGGCCGCAGCAAACGCAGCAGCAGCGGCCGCAGCAGCCGCCACCGGUGACAAUGACCUCGACGUGGACUCUCUGGAGGAGCUCGACUGCCCACUGACCAGCCACCCAACGCCGCCACAUCACAGCCACAGCCACAGCCAAAUCCAUAACCAAUCCCAGCGGCUGGUCAUCCCGCGCAACGGGAGCAGUUUCCUGGAGACGCAGGACGAGAACGAGACGCCUGUCGCCUCCUGGUAUGGAAUCGUGCUCUGCAAGGUGGCCAAAGACAAUAAACCCAAGCCAGAGACCAUUGAGAUAUUUUCUGUGAAAAUACGUGAGAACGGCACAUACAAGCUCAUCAAGAUGCAACUGGCGGAUAUCUGGAGUCACGGAUGGGAGCUGCGCAUCAAUAACUUUGCCGACAAGGAGAAGGUGCCACACAACGAGAAGGACAUUCGCAAUCAGGUGUCGGUGGCGCGCAAAGCCAAGCAGAGUUUGUGGAACAACAAUAAGCAUUUCGUGUACUGGUGCCGCUACGGAAGUCGUCAGCAGGACUUGCGGAAGCGACAGGUAACGACGAGUGCCAAUCAUGUGCUGCUGCACCUGAUCAAUUGAUAAGUCAGCCGGCGAUUGAAUGGCUCAUCUGGCCCAGGAAAAAAUGAGAAAUGAGAUAUAGAGGCGAUUGAAGCGCCGACACAAAACCCAUCCAUUUCCUGCUCCUGCUCCUGCUACUGCACCAUCCUCCAACCACCACCUCCCCCGCCACCCGCAAUGUGCAUUGAUUGUUGUAGUUGCAGCAGCAAAAAAAAAAAAAAACAAAAAAAAUAGGAAAAACAUCCUGCGAGGCAAUGUAAAAUCAUGAAAAAAAUCACACAUAACGACCAAAUCAUCAUACUCAAAACUAGAACGCAACGUGGACAAAAAAACGAACUGAGGAACCCGGAUAAAAAGAACCAUUCACUUUUCUAGGACCCCGAUCCAUACGCACAACCAUUAUCAUCGCCAUCCAAGAACCGAUUCAUGCUUGCUUUGCUCAUACAAAUUCGCCAAAAGAAAACCCUGAGAAUUUUCCCGCAACUGAAGCAGUAGAAGCCGAAGAAUGCAUCCAAACCACUUUACCCACAUUUUGCGUGAAACUCGAUCGAUCAUCUUUCUACCGAAAGAAUCUAGUAUCUAGAUUCUGGAUUCUAUUUUUCUGUAAGACUGCAAACUGCCCACUCAAUGUUAAUGAUCUUUAUAUGUGUGCCACCAAAAGCCGUGCGCCUGCUUGUUCGAUUUACCAUCUCGUCAAGAUGAUGCUCUUCUUGAUCCUCCCUCUAUCAAUCAAUUUCAGUUAGAUUUUCCGGCAUCAAGGGCCCAAGAACGUUGGGUCUGCCCGCAUGUCGGUGGGCUCAAUGUCUGGGUAAAUUGACUGGAUUAUCUGGCGAGUGAAAUGCGAGAUUGGCCAAGUGUGGCGAAGAUCGGGGAAGUGGGCCAUGGCUGCCAUUGGGCACCUAGCAACUGAAACCUCCCAUUCUUGCGGCAUUUAUGUGCCUGUAUAUGUAUAGCCGUAUGUAGUCCUGCCACCUCAUCGCCACCAGAGACAUGUCGGAGUGCGUUAAAUGGGGCAGCGUGGGCAUGAAUGCGGGCAUGCUGUUGGUG